rnacentral:lncRNA from 1 species
AAACUAGGGUUAACCCAUACGCCUCCCACAACAAAACACCAAAUGGCCCACUUCCUCCGGAGCCCAAAACGGAGACGUCGUGGACUAAUCACACCGCCACGGAAAGUGUCAUGUCUCUCGUGCCAAGACGACAUGCCUGUGGUACACCCACAGGUGGUUAUAGCUCAGGUAUACCCUACGGUAUAUUCUAACAAAAUACUAUGUCACAACACAUGCGACAUAAUACCAACAAGGGUUCUAUAUGUACAUGUUGAACCAAAUCAAAUUAUAGUCACAAGGUUUCAAAAAGAAGGUAGCAACAUGUACCGCUCUACAAUUAUCAAAAUAAAUAGUACUAAACAUGAUAACCUAAUUCAAAGAGUACAAAUACG